rnacentral:rRNA from 14 species
GCAUGGAUUUUGACUGAAGGUUCACGCCCGAUCUCGUUUGAUCUCGGAAGCUAAGAUAGGUUGGGCCUGGUUAGUACUUGGAUGGGAGACCGCCUAGGAAUACCAGGUGCUGUAAGGC